GAUGAAGAACGCAGCGAAAUGCGAUAAGUAAUGUGAAUUGCAGAAUUCAGUGAAUCAUCGAAUCUUUGAACGCACCUUGCGCCCUUUGGCUAUUCCGAAGGGCAUGCCUGUUUGAGUAUCAUGAACACCUCAACCCUCAUGGUUUGCCAUGAUGGGCUUGGACUUUGGGGGUCUUGCUGGCCUAUAGUCAGCUCCUCUUAAAUGAAUCAGCUUGCCAGUGUUUGGUGGCAUCACAGGUGUGAUAACUAUCUACGCUUGUGGUUUUCCAUCAAGUCACCUUCAGCGAUGGAGGUUCGCUGGGGCUCAUAAAGAAGGCCUCUCCUCGGUGAGGAUGGCUCCUUUGAACGUUUGAUCUCAAAUCAGGUAGGACUACCCGCUGAACUUAAGCAUAUCAAUAAGCGGAGGA
rnacentral:misc_RNA from 1 species